rnacentral:piRNA from 1 species
UGUGACUCUAGGGAACCCUGACUAAUA